GAAGUUGGUCAGACAGCCGCUCCGAUUUUAUCGGAGAGGAAAGUCCGAACUCCGCAGGGCAGGGUGUCCCGUAAUCCGGGAUCAUUCCGAAUGAUCGGAAUGCAGGAAAGUGCCACAGAAAAUAUACCGUCCCGCCCCGGCGGGAUAAGGGUGAAAAGGUGCGGCCCGACUGAGGUCGGGAUUAAAGUAAGAGCGCACCGUCCCGUCUGCAAAGGCGGGAGCCAGGCAAACCCCACCCGGAGCAAGAGCAAGCAGGGAAAAGGAAUAGCCCGUUCCGUUUGAUUCCCGGGUAGCUCGCUUAAUCCCGACUGAAAAGUCGUGGAUAGAUAAAUGGCUGUCGUCUCGAUUCGUCGGGAUACAGAAUUCGGCUUAUAGACCAACUUCAGAA
rnacentral:RNase_P_RNA from 1 species